rnacentral:rRNA from 1 species
GACUCCAAUCCAGGAGACCCUCCUCCCAAAGGGGUCAGGUUCCGCUCCUCUUGCUCUUGCCGCUUCACGACCUCUCCUCAUGACUGUCUCACACCUUCUUUGGAUGACGUCAACUCCGACUUCAUGAUAGACUUGUUCCCAGACUAUUGACUAAAGUAGGGAGAUUUGUAACUAAUUUAACGGAAAGGUACCAACUAGUACAGUACAAGAUCACAAAUCAAAAAACAAUACCCUUAAAAUACAAGAUAAGGACUUAACUAACCAGGACAAUAACGUGAAAUAAAAGA